GAUGAACGCUAGCGGCAGGCCUAAUACAUGCAAGUCGAGCGGCAAGUCGAGGAGUAAUCUAAGACCUAGAGCGGCGCACGGGUGCGUAACGCGUAUGCAACCUACCUUAUACUGGGGGAUAGCCCGGAGAAAUCUGGAUUAAUACCCCAUGGUACAUAUUGAGGGCAUCUGAGAUAUGUUAAAGAUUUAUUGGUAUAAGAUGGGCAUGCGUCUGAUUAGCUAGUUGGCGGUGUAACGGACCACCAAGGCGACGAUCAGUAGGGGUUCUGAGAGGAAGGUCCCCCACACUGGCACUGAGAUACGGGCCAGACUCCUACGGGAGGCAGCAGUAGGGAAUAUUGGGCAAUGGUCGGAAGACUGACCCAGCCAUGCCGCGUGCAGGAAGAAGGCCCUCUGGGUUGUAAACUGCUUUUAUCUGGGAAGAAAAAGGCCAUGCGUGGCAAAUUGCCGGUACCAGAUGAAUAAGCACCGGCUAACUCCGUGCCAGCAGCCGCGGUAAUACGGAGGGUGCAAGCGUUGUCCGGAUUUAUUGGGUUUAAAGGGUGCGUAGGCGGCUGAUUAAGUCAGCGGUGAAAGACUUCGGCUUAACCGGAGCAGUGCCGUUGAUACUGAUUGGCUUGAGUGUUGGAGGGGUACAUGGAAUUGAUGGUGUAGCGGUGAAAUGCAUAGAUACCAUCGGGAACACCGAUAGCGAAGGCAUUGUACUGGCCAACAACUGACGCUGAGGCACGAAAGUGUGGGGAUCGAA
rnacentral:rRNA from 1 species